GAUGAACGCUGGCGGCGUGCCUAAUACAUGCAAGUCGAGCGAACAGAUGAGUAGCUUGCUCCUCUGACGUUAGCCGCGGACGUGUGAGUAACACGUGGAGAACCUACCUAUAAGAUUGCGCUAACUUCGUGAUACCAGAACUAAUUCCGGACAAUAUAUUGAACCUCAGGGUUCGAUAGUUUAAGACGGUUUUGCUGGACCUGAUAGAUGGAUCCUCGCCGCUUUAGCUAGUUGGUAAGGUAACGGCUUACCAAGGCAACGAUGGGUAGCCGACCUGAGAGGGGGUUCGGCCACACUGGGGCUGAUACACGGUCCAGAGUCGGACGGAAGGCAGAGGUAGGGAAUCUUCGGCGAUGGGGGGAAGCCUGACGGAGCAACGCCGCGUGAGUGAUGCAGGUCUUCGGACCGUAAGACUCUGUUCGUAGGGAAGAACAAAUGUGUAAGUAACUAAGCACGUCUUGACGGUACCUGCAGAGGAAGCAACGGCUAACUACGUG
rnacentral:rRNA from 1 species